UGGGGAAUAUUGGACAAUGGGCGCAAGCCUGAUCCAGCCAUGCCGCGUGAGCGAUGAAGGCCUUAGGGUUGUAAAGCUCUUUCACCGGGGAAGAUAAUGACGGUAACCGGAGAAGAAGCCCCGGCUAACUUCGUGCCAGCAGCCGCGGUAAUACGAAGGGGGCUAGCGUUGUUCGGAUUUACUGGUCGUAAAGCGCACGUAGGCGGACUAUUAAGUCAGGGGUGAAAUCCCGGGGCUCAACCCCGGAACUGCCUUUGAUACUGUUAGUCUUGAGUUCGGGAGAGGUGAGUGGAAUUCCGAGUGUAGAGGUGAAAUUCGUAGAUAUUCGGAGGAACACCAGUGGCGAAGGCGGCUCACUGGCUCGAUACUGACGCUGAGGUGCGAAAGCGUGGGGAGCAAACAGG
rnacentral:rRNA from 1 species